CGGUGAAUACGUUCCCGGACCUUGUACACACCGCCCGUCAAGCCAUGGAAGCUAGGUGUACCCAAGACAAUUUCUUGAAAUUGUCUAAGGUAAAACUGGUGACUGGGCU
rnacentral:rRNA from 1 species